GACGAACGCUGGCGGCGCGCUUAACACAUGCAAGUCGAACGGAAAGGCCCUGCUUUUGUGGGGUGCUCGAGUGGCGAACGGGUGAGUAACACGUGAGUAACCUGCCCUUGACUUUGGGAUAACUUCAGAAAACUGGGGCUAAUACCGGAUAGGAGCUCCUGCUGCAUGGUGGGGGUUGGAAAGUUUCGGCGGUUGGGGAUGGACUCGCGGCUUAUCAGCUUGUUGGUGGGGUAGUGGCUUACCAAGGCUUUGACGGGUAGCCGGCCUGAGAGGGUGACCGGCCACAUUGGGACUGAGAUACGGCCCAGACUCCUACGGGAGGCAGCAGUGGGGAAUAUUGCACAAUGGGCGGAAGCCUGAUGCAGCAACGCCGCGUGCGGGAUGACGGCCUUCGGGUUGUAAACCGCUUUCGCCUGUGACGAAGCGUGAGUGACGGUAAUGGGUAAAGAAGCACCGGCUAACUACGUG
rnacentral:rRNA from 1 species